UUUCAAUAAUGUGUUUGUGUCCAUCUAGUAUUGAUAUUUAGCUUUAAUUUUAUGAUAAUAUUUUUGUGUCCAUCGAUUGUUUGUUAAGCAUAAGUACCAACACUAGUUGAUCCUAUUGAUGACAAAAUUGAUUUUCUUGCAAGAUCGAUUUGUGUCCAUCUAGUGUUGAUAUUAAGCUUUAAUUUAGGAAUAAUGUGUUUGUUAAGCAUAAGUAUCAACACUAGUUGAUCCUAUUGAUGACAAAAUUGAUUUUCUUGCAAGAUCGAUUUGUG
rnacentral:lncRNA from 1 species